UGUUCGAAAGUCGAAAAUAAUGAUUCUAGAUUCUUUUCAUGAAUCGCCAUUUUUUCCUUGUGAUAGCCUAUUUUCAUUUCUGGUGAAAAAAAUCUCAUCUCUCCAAUGCCAUGAUAAGUUUAGAAUGCAUUACAUUGUGAUAUCGAAAGUUUUAGCAUAAUAUUCUGAUAGAUGAAAAUCAUUCAAAACGAAAUGGUUUACAUGCUGCUGUUACACCUCACUGAAUCUCUUAACAUUGAAGCCCUUGCCAGAAAAAGUUCUUUGUAGAUGUCUAUAUUUUGGACAGUGAGAUAUUCUAAGGUUCAUUCGUCAUUCUCUCUGGUAUCUGAAUCAUCUACAAUGGAUCAUAGCAAAUGGUUUAUUGCCGAGUCAAAAAACAACAAUUCACUUCAUCGAGAGACCCUCUAACACUUCGAGGACCAUGAGGGCUACCUCCAAAUAUGAAGCAAGGCUGUAGUAAUUAUCUUCGACAGAUAAUUAAGACCCCACUUUUCACAGGAACAAAAUAAUGUGCCGUACGCCAAUUAAGCCAUGCCCUUCGCCGUCACAAACUGCCACCUCUGCGCCGACUGCUUAACCUCCUUCACCUUUCUGGAUGGAUGGAUCCAAACUUCCACCACGGUCUCCCAAUGUGUCGAAACUGUUCAAACCGCAACCGUCGCCAACAGUGAUGAACGAUAAUCUGGAUUCAAAUGGACCUUCAUUUCUUAAUUUGAUUUUUCAUCUGCAAUCCAACCAUUCCCAAGCUAUUCGCCAUCCAGCCCCAGCCGAACGUGCUGCCCCGUGAGCGACCUAU